UACGUAGGGUGCGAGCGUUGUCCGGAAUUACUGGGCGUAAAGAGCUCGUAGGUGGUUUGUCGCGUUGUUCGUGAAAACUCACAACUCAAUUGUGGGCGUGCGGGCGAUACGGGCAGACUGGAGUACUGCAGGGGAGACUGGAAUUCCUGGUGUAGCGGUGGAAUGCGCAGAUAUCAGGAGGAACACCGGUGGCGAAGGCGGGUCUCUGGGCAGUAACUGACGCUGAGGCGCGAAAGCUAGGGGAGCAAACAGG
rnacentral:rRNA from 1 species